AUGCCGCAAGACGACGCGUCCUUCCUCCUCUGCGCCGAGGACGCUUUCUUCUUCGUCGACGCCGCCGCCAGCACCUGCACCACCGCCGAGCAGGACGAUGGCUGGUGCUCCAGCGCCGAGGAGGAGUCGGCGGCCUCCUUCGUCGCCGAGCUCAUCGGCGGCGAGGCCGACUACUCGCCCCGGUCCGACUACUCCGACCGGCUCCGGUCGCGGUCCGUCGACCCCGCCGCCCGGGCCGACUCCGUUGCAUGGAUUGUCAAGGUGCAAGAGUACUACGGAUUCCUUCCCUUGACGGCCUACCUCGCCGUGAACUACAUGGACCGGUUCCUCUCCCUCCACCGGCUGCCGCAGGAGGAUGGAUGGGCAAUGCAGCUGCUAGCUGUGACCUGCCUCUCCUUGGCUGCCAAGAUGGAGGAGACCCUGGUGCCCUCCCUCCUAGACCUUCAGAUAGAGAGCACAAGAUACAUCUUCGAGCCGAGAACGAUCCUUCGAAUGGAGCUUCUCGUCCUCACGGCGCUCAAUUGGAGGCUCCGAUCGGUCACGCCGUUCACAUUCAUCGACUUCUUCGCUUGCAAAGUCGAUCCGAGGGGGAGGCACAUGAGAUACCUGAUCGCCCGAGCCACACAAAUGAUUUUAGCCGCAAUACAUGACAUUGAGUUCUUGGACCACUGCCCGUCGUCCAUGGCUGCCGCGGCGGUGCUGUGCGCCGCCGGUGAGACGCCGUCCCUCACCUCGUUGCUCAACCCUAGGCUUGCAGUCAAUUGGUGCAUUGGCCUAGCAGAGGAAGGGGUGAGCAGCUGCUACCAACUAAUACAGCGGCUGGUGGGUUGCAAGAGGGCAGCCACAGCGGAAGCGGCAGUUAACCUGUGCUCAGACGAGGUUCUGUCCUGUGAUUACUCCUCCUGCACCACCCCACCCCCACCCAAGAGGAGAAAGAGGUCACCUCCACCGGUCAUCACAUGA
rnacentral:rRNA from 1 species